GACGAACGCUGGCGGCGUGCCUAAUACAUGCAAGUCGAGCGGACGAAUCGAAAGCUUGCUUUUGAUUCGUUAGCGGCGGACGGGUGAGUAACACGUGGGCAACCUGCCCUGUAGACGGGGAUAACACCGAGAAAUCGGUGCUAAUACCGGAUAACACGAAAUGUCGCAUGACGUUUCGUUGAAAGACGGCGCAAGCUGUCGCUACAGGAUGGGCCCGCGGCGCAUUAGCUAGUUGGUGAGGUAACGGCUCACCAAGGCGACGAUGCGUAGCCGACCUGAGAGGGUGAUCGGCCACACCGGGACUGAGACACGGCCCAGACUCCUACGGGAGGCAGCAGUAGGGAAUCUUCCGCAAUGGACGAAAGUCUGACGGAGCAACGCCGCGUGAGCGAAGAAGGCCUUCGGGUCGUAAAGCUCUGUUGUUAGGGAAGAACAAGUAACGCAGUAACUGGCGUUACCGUGACGGUACCUAACGAGAAAGCCACGGCUAACUACGU
rnacentral:rRNA from 1 species